GACGAACGCUGGCGGCGUGCUUAACACAUGCAAGUCGAACGAAGUGGCGAACGGGUGAGUAACGCGUAAUCAACCUGCCCUUCAGUGGGGGACAACAGUUGGAAACGACUGCUAAUACCGCAUACUGAAGGAGGGGAUUGCGUCUGAUUAGCUAGUUGGAGGGGUAACGGCCCACCAAGGCGAAGAUCAGUAGCCGGUCUUGGAGGAUAGACGGGCACAAUGGGACUUGGACACGGCCCAAACUCCUACGGGAGGCAGCAGUGGGGAAACUUCCGAAAUGGACGAAAGUCUGGCGGAGCAAAGCCGCGUGGGUGAUGACGGCCUUCGGGUUGUAAAGCUCUGUUAAUCGGGACGCGGUACCGGAAUAGAAAGCCACGGCUAACUACGUGCCAGCAGCCGCGGUAAUAC
rnacentral:rRNA from 1 species